AGGACUCAUCACUACAUCCAGCCACUGUCUGAGGGUUUGACUGAAGGAACCUGUGUGUGUAUGUUGUGUUGAGAGCCAGGUGAAAAUGCCUCCCAAAAAGCAAAAGAUCGGAAAGGAUAUCAGAAGCUUUUUCAGGACAACUGACAGUCCUGCGAGAGGCAACUUGGCACCUUCAGGGGGUUCACAGCCAGGCGGAGCUCAAGGCUCUCAGUCAGGCGGACCUACACGCUCUCAGCAAGGCAGAGCCAAAGACUCUCAAUCAGGCGGACCUACACACUCUCAGCAAGGUGGAGCCAAAGACUCUCAAUCAGGCGGACCUACACACUCUCAGCAAGGUGGAGCUACAGGCCCUCAGGUGAUCUCUUUUGUAAUUGUUAAAUGGUGGGCUGCAGGUUCAUGAGCUACUAUAAAUACAUUUGGAAGUUUUUGAGAUGCUUUGAAGAAAAGUUUAAUCAUUGUUGCU